ACGAACGCUGGCGGCGUGCUUAACACAUGCAAGUCGAACGGAAAGGCCCUGCUUGCAGGGUACUCGAGUGGCGAACGGGUGAGUAACACGUGGGUGAUCUGCCCUGCACUUCGGGAUAAGCCUGGGAAACUGGGUCUAAUACCGGAUAUGACCUUCCAUGUAGUGUGGGGGGUGGAAAGAUUUAUCGGUGUGGGAUGAGCCCGCGGCCUAUCAGCUUGUUGGUGGGGUAAUGGCCUACCAAGGCGUCGACGGGUAGCCGGCCUGAGAGGGUGGACGGCCACAUUGGGACUGAGAUACGGCCCAGACUCCUACGGGAGGCAGCAGUGGGGAAUAUUGCACAAUGGGCGGAAGCCUGAUGCAGCGACGCCGCGUGGGGGAUGACGGCCUUCGGGUUGUAAACCUCUUUCGACAGGGACGAAGCUUCGGUGACGGUACCUGUAUAAGAAGCACCGGCUAACUACGUG
rnacentral:rRNA from 1 species